CAAGUACUCCCUCCGUCUGGAAUUACUUGUCAUCAAAAUGGAUGUGUCUAGAACUAAAAUACAUCUAGAUACAUCCAUUUCAAUGACAAGUAUUUUCGGACGGAGGGAGNCAAAA
rnacentral:pre_miRNA from 1 species